rnacentral:rRNA from 1 species
CCUACGGGAGGCUGCAGUGAGGAAUAUUGGUCAAUGGACGCAAGUCUGAACCAGCCAUGCCGCGUGCAGGAAGACGGCUCUAUGAGUUGUAAACUGCUUUUGUACGAGGGUAAACGCAGAUACGCGUAUCUGUCUGAAAGUAUCCUACGAAUAAGGAUCGGCUAACUACGUGCCAGCCGCCGCGGUAAUACGGAGGAUUCAAGCGUUAUCCGGAUUUAUUUGGUUUAAAGGGUUCGUAGGCGGUCGGAUAAGUUAGAGGUGAAAUCCCGAGGCUCAACUUCGGAAUUGCCUUUGAUACUGUGCGGCGUGAGAGUACGUGCGGUAGGCGGAAUGUAUGGUGUAGCGGUGAAAUGCUUAGAGAUCAUACAGAACACCGAUUGCGAAGGCAGCUUACCAAGCUACUUCUGACGUUGAGGCACGAAAGCGUGGGGAGCAAACAGGAUUAGAUACCCGUGUAGUC